UACGAAGGGUGCAAGCGUUACUCGGAAUUACUGGGCGUAAAGCGUGCGUAGGUGGUUCGUUAAGUCUGAUGUGAAAGCCCUGGGCUCAACCUGGGAAUGGCAUUGGAUACUGGCGACCUAGAGUGCGGUAGAGGGUGUGGAAUUCCGGUGUAGCAGUGAAAUGCGCAGAUAUCGGGAAGAACACCCGUGGCGAAGGCGGCUCUCUGGGACGGUACUGACGCUGAGACGCGAAAGCGUGGGGAGCGAACGAGGAUUGAGAUACC
rnacentral:rRNA from 1 species